UACGGAGGGGCUAGCGUUGUUCGGAAUUACUGGGCGUAAAGCGCACGUAGGCGGCUUUGUAAGUUAGAGGUGAAAGCCCGGAGCUCAACUCCGGAAUUGCCUUUAGACUGCAUCGCUCGAAUCAUGGAGAGGUGGAGUGGGAAUUCCGAGUGUAGAGGUGAAAUUCGUAGAUAUUCGGAAGAACACCAGUGGCGAAGGCGA
rnacentral:rRNA from 1 species